rnacentral:rRNA from 1 species
AUUGAACGCUGGCGGCAGGCCUAACACAUGCAAGUCGAACGGUAACAGGAAGAAGCUUGCUUCUUUGCUGACGAGUGGCGGACGGGUGAGUAAUGUCUGGGAAACUGCCUGAUGGAGGGGGAUAACUACUGGAAACGGUAGCUAAUACCGCAUAACGUCGCAAGACCAAAAAGGGGGACCUUCGGGCCUCUUACCAUCGGAUGUGCCCAGAUGGGAUUAGCUAGUAGGUGGGGUAACGGCUCACCUAGGCGACGAUCCCUAGCUGGUCUGAGAGGAUGACCAGCCACACUGGAACUGAGACACGGUCCAGACUCCUACGGGAGGCAGCAGUGGGGAAUAUUGCACAAUGGGCGCAAGCCUGAUGCGGCCAUGCCGCGUGUAUGAAGAAGGCCUUCGGGUUGUAAAGUACUUUCAGCGGGGAGGAAGGGAGUAAAGUUAAUACCUUUGCUCAUUGACGUUACCCGCAGAAGAAGCACCGGCUAACUCCGUG